rnacentral:lncRNA from 1 species
CAGCAAGUCACCUUAGGAAUGUCACUGAGUGCCUCUCUUGCUUAGGAAAAGUUAGGGGAAAGUGGUACCCUGCAGAAACAUGGAGUAGAAAACUAUGGAUGUGGCUGACGCCCUCUAACAUCUUUGGUGUGGAGGUGACUCUCACGCUGUAGUGUGCAUCUGAAUCUUUGGGAAGUCUGCAAAAAUGGAGAGCUGAGCCACCCCAGGGCUGCUGGAUCAGUAGGUGCAUUGUUUAUGGCUUUGAUUUUGUGUAUAUUAUGAUGUUUUGAUGUUUAAAACCUUUCUGACUGGAGAGAUACUGACCCUCACAGUGUUAGAGAGAACAGAGGCUCAGCCUGGGGUCUUUGAUAUGCAGAUUAAUGGACACAGGCCACACCUCCUCUACCUGCCCCCCACCCCAGGGAGCAAUGCUCCUCUGCCUAAUCAUCCCAGGGCCGGGAACCAGGCAAUCAGGGAUCACUCUGCUGGCUUAGAGUCUGUUGGAAGUAUCCCAACUGGCCAGUCCUACACCGGUCACCCUGUCCCUGACGCCUUUCCUUUGGAAACCCCCAUAAAGGCAUGGCCGAGCUGACCCUUCCUGCCUACCCCUCUGCCUCUUGACCACCCUGAUGCUUUCCUGCAAGGCCCUGCGGAACAUGCAGAGCCCCCAGUCCUGUGGGUAUCACAUGCUGUUUUCCAGAGUCUCCUCUUAGGACCAUCCCUGACCGACAGACACAUAAAACACCCACAGACAGUAGGUUUGUGUUAGCCUGAGAUUUUGCAUUUCUACCAGGUUCCUAGGUGAUGCCACUGCCCGUGAUGAUGUCAGGCAUCUCUCUGACAAGAAUGGACACUGAGGCCUCCGGGGGAGAACCAUCCUGAGGGAAAAAAUCAGACAGGGCUAAGCAAAGCGUGGUUCGCGUGCCUGCAGCCUCAGCACCCGGGGAAAGUUGUUAGAGAUGCAGAUUGACAGCUCCCACCCAGGACCAGCUGAAUGUGACUGAGGGUGUGGCCCCCAAAUCUGUGCUUGAAGAAUGUCAAAUGAAAUAAAAUUUGAGAAGCACUAGUCUAGAGGGAUCAUCUGCCUCCCGGCUGGAGCCUAUAUCACCUCUGUGGAUCGUGGCCGGUUCUGGCCCAGUGUGGCUACGGCUAGAAAUGUCUGGGACAGCAGCAAAGGAUGUGAGUGUCAGCUCAUCUGUGCUACACUAGGGCCCUGUGCCCGCUGUGCAGGUCUCCAAUCAGCAAGGGCAUGGGACAGCAUGGGAAAUCCCCACUGGAUUGUUGAGACCGAUGGGGACCUUUGCCUGGAGGCCAUGGUGGACAGGUCAGACUUUCCAGGGAUCUCAUGCUACACAAGCCCUAGGGCUUCUUCUCACCAUUGCUCAGGGAGGAAGAGAGGGCUCCGAGACAGAGGUGCAGGUCUUCAGGUUCAAUUGGGC